AUACUUACCUAGACAAGGUCGAUGGGCGACCAAGAAAACCCAUGACCGAGGGUAGUGACCUCCAUCGCACAUGGGAGGGGUGCUACUCUAAGGUCUCCCUAAGUGGGAGAGCCUACAUCAUUAUUUGUGGCAGUGGGGGCCUACGUUCGCUCGGCCCCUAU
rnacentral:snRNA from 2 species